UGCACCGCCCCCACCGCUUCGCCUCGAUUGGCACCGGCGCAGGCCACCCCGCCGCUCGACGUCGCCUCGCACCGGAGGCGACCACCACCAUCCUCCCCGAUCCCUCCCCUCUGCCAACCCGAUAUAGAUGCCUAACCCAAGGGAAACGGCAGGCGGCCAGCGGGCGACGCGAGGCGCGGUGGCGGCUUGAGGAAGAGGGGCAGAUGCGUGCGCGGCGUCGACCGAUCUGGCGGGUGGUGCGGCGGCUUGUUCCGGUGCCAGCGGCGUCCUGCUCAUCCAGAGAAGGAGAGACAAGGGCCCGAGGGAGAGAGGAGACAGAGGAAGAAAGGAGAAGGAGAAGGGGUGCACGCAGGGUGAGGGAGGCAGUCGCCGGCUAUGGCGGCUCCGGUGACUGACCGACGGGCUUGCUGCCAAAUCGCGCCCACCGGGCAACGCUCUGUGCUGGCUGCACCGACUGCCGCACGCCACCGGACAGCGGCGGUGGAGCCUCCCUCGUGGAGGAUUACACCGGCUGCCCCGCGCUUUCCGAGAUCCUCCGCAUCCUCCCCGUGAAGCGUCGUCAUCGUGGGAGGACUUCGAUGCCUGGAUCGCCGACAACCUCCUCCAAAUCCUACAGGAGGUCCAGAUGUGUAUAUCAAGGACGCACAGAUCCAUUGGCCUGCGUACCACACAUCCCUUCACUAAUUCCAUCGGUGUCAUUCUUAACAAGGUAAGUAUGAUUCCCCCAUCCAUGAUUUUCUUAAUUGAUCUUUGAUCCUUGAUCUCCCUAAUGUCCUUACAUUUUAUUGAUUCUAUAAACGAUCUCAAACUGGAAUAUACCAAGAUUUAGAUGGAACCAAUUUUUAGGCCACAAUUCCUAUAACUUUCCUUGUCAAUUUGAUAAAAUUAGAUGUGUGAUGGAGGUUGUAACCUAUUACGGUAUACAUUGUCAGAAUUCUUCAAGACCCUCUAUCGAUCCUCACUAUCUUUCAAACAAUCUGAUUUCUGUGUCAUUGCUAAACAUAUGUAUAUAUUUGGUGUGCUGGAUUUUCUGAUGUAUAUGCUAUAUAAGAGGAAGCUAUUCGACAAUCUGCCCAAGUUGGUACAGAUUAGCUCGAUUUUAUUCAGUAAACAUUUAUGCUUGAUAGAUACAAGCCUUCCUCUUUUGCCCUUCUUUUCUCCAUCCUCUGCAGGUCUCCAGCACAUGUGAAUCGUUGUCGUCAAGAGCAUGCUUGUGACAUCAUUAGAAUACGUGAUGCAGGGCAAAAGGAUGUUGUCAGGAAUAAAAAAAAUUUAAUCAUUUCCUAUUCUUUUUCCUUGCCCGUUUUCGCCGUUAUAUAUACUGUAUUUCCCACUGUAAUGCACAGCCAAAUUUGUAUUCUUGAAAGUUUUAGUCAUCUCUGCUGCAGCUAAGUGUUCAAUUGCAAUCUCUAGCCAAGUUCCCUUUGUCGUUGUGUUGAAUUUGAGGAAAGGCGACCAAGCAGCUCGUGGCAGCCGUGUCGCGCCUGCUCCACCGCUGCCUUGACUUGCCGACGACAUCGCCCGUUGGGCCGCAGGGGGGCAAGAUCAUCAUGGGACCCAUUGCCAUGGGCGCGAGUAUGCUUGAUUGCCAUGUCGGAGGAAAAGGUCCUAGAGCUUGGUGUGUGACAAGUCGUGUGAGAUGAAGGUGGUGAACCGUCUCAAUGUGAAGCCAAGUAUGUGAAGGAUAUGCCAUGGAUGAUGUGGACAGAGAUAAUGCAAAAAUUGCUUGCCGAUAGGCAGCUGGGCGUAUGCAUAAUUGUCGAGGAGGCCGAAGCGAGCGCUAUUUCUGGUUUGACUAAAUAACGUAUUCUGAGGCUCCCUUGUGGUGGAGAUCGACUAUGCAGUGGGGAAAGGAGCUAGGGGCUGAUUCGUAAGCAGAACAUUGUCCUACCCAAUUAUUGUUGAUAUUAAAUCUGCGUUGAGUAAAUAUCACAUCAGGGCUGUCGGAAGGACAAACAAUGGGCUGGAUCAUGAACUAGCCAACGCUUCCAAAGCUCAUGGAGACUUUGUGGCUGCGGAUGAUGUCCCGGACCAUGAUCUGCUCCGAAAGGAAAAUGAUGUAGCCUUGGCGUCGGUAUCAGGCAUUUUGAUGGAUGUAAAGCGGACUUGAUUGUAUGUGAUGGCGCCCCUGAUAGUAAGCUUGCAUUGCUAGACAAGUGGCCGAUAACCAUCUUACAUGUGUUUAUGGUACUUCUGUUUCUUACUUUGCUUUGGAUGAUUGCAGUUACUAGACUUCAUGAUAUGGUUUGUUCUGUCCCAGCUUAUAUAGGCAGUUGGUAUAUUUUUCUCUUUCUCUGCGUAUCAAUUUAGAUCAGAGAUACUUUUCGGAAGUAAUUUACAGUAUCCAUAAGAUGCAGUGUCCAAAAAUAAUGCUACCUUAACCCUGCAGUUUAUGCUUAGUAUUCUACCUUAAAAUGUUUACUUUCGGUGCAAUAGCUUCUUUGGAUUUUUAUAUUGAACAUUGGACCAUUUUUACUGAACCUUUGGAUAAUUCGUUGCUGUUUAUGUUGUAGAACAACAUGGUGUAACACUAUGGUUCCACUAACUUGAUAUAUUUUCCACUAAUGUCCUUCCUGCUUCCAUCUACCUUGCUGCCCCAUCUCUCCUCUACCAAAUCCCAGCUUCAUGGUGGAUUCAUCUACAUGUAGUUAAUCUCCUAGCGUUGAAUCACUGCACAGCUGCACAUGAAUUGUUAUGGACCAUUUGUUUUUCUUCAGGAAUCCACACCUACAGCAGUUCUCCUAGAAACCAUCUGCCUGAAGUUCAUCUCCCUACCACUCCAUUUUGUGUUAGAACAGAGAAUUGUUAAAGCUGAGAUCAUAGACAAAUCUUAUGUUGCAACAACAUGUUUGGAGGUUGUGCUGAGAAUUAAAAUGUCAAGGUUCAAAAAAUAGAUGCUUCAAGUAUUUAAUCUCUUUCAAAUACUCUUAUCAUGUUCCUUUCAGUGGUUAGAGCCCACAACUAAGAUAUGUUUGCUUCACACUCAUGCUUGUAAUACGCCUAUAUGGUUCCUUAUUUCAUCAUGUCCACGUUUGUAAUUCUCUGGUGCAGCAGAGCUGACUGAUAGUAGAGGUUAACCUUCUUUUUAGCCAAAGCUUCCAGUAUUGUACUACUUAUAUGUGCUCUUUGGUGCAGCGCUCACUCAACAUAUUGAUAUGUAAGUCAAUUUUAGCAAAUAACUCUUUGCUUUGUCGUGGUGGCUAAAAUACAUCACACUUAUCUGCACCUAGAACUGAAUAUUUGAUUCUUUUUGCACCUAGAACUGAAUAUUUGAUUCUUUUUGCCUACAUGCCAACAGUAUCAAAAAUGAUGUGCAUAGUUAUCCAGUUAGUUUUGUGAGAACUAUAUAUGAUAAACUACUAGAACCAAUAGGAUAAACUAUAGUAGUACUGUUGCAUUGGAACACAUGAUUCUCUGGUUGAUAUUUGGCAUGAUGCUUGCAUUCAAUAUCUAGAAUCUUGCAGCUCAAACCAUAUGAAUGUGAUCCCUAUAUGGUGUUCCAGUGGUGAAAACUAGAGCAUAUACUAUAUUCAAAUUUUUUUGUUACACAUCAGGCAUACAUUGGAUGGACGAACCAUACAAAUAGUAAUCAAUCUGAUAUGGUUUAGUCACAUAUACUUUUUUGUUUUCUUCUAGUGUGUAGUCAUCUCUUAUAGUGACCACAAAUUAGUACAUAUAAAUUCAAUUUUAUGAUCACUGUUAAUAUGAACAAGAUUCUUGCUCUAUGUCAUUUAUGGUUAGUGAUAUGUGACAGUGAGUUGCACUAUUUUUUUCAUCCUAUUAGCAAAGCAUCACAGUACGAGCUAUAUUCAGAUGUACAUGAUGGUAGACGUGCAUAUCAUGCUGGUUUUCUACUCUACAGUUUUGGGCACCCAUGGUGUCAAUUUUGAACUGUCAUAGUCUGGAUUAUAAAAUGUUUCAAUGCAUGCGAAUAUGGCCUGAUUUAUUAACAAAGAGAACUCUAUAUGCUUUUUUGCCCGGUGCAACGCACGGGCAUUUGUACUAGUAAAAACAAAUUUAAUCAUUUCCUAUUCUUUUUCCUUGCCCGUUUUCGCCGUUAUAUAGACUGUAUUUCCCACUGUAAUGCACAACCAAAUUUGUAUUCUUGAAAGUUUUAGUCAUCUUUGCUGCAACUAAGUGUUCAAUUGCAAUCUUUAGCCAAGUUCCCUUUGUUGUUGUGUUGAAUUCGAGGAAAGGCGACCAAGCAGCUCAUGGCAGCCGUGUCACGCCUGCUCCACCACUGCCUUAACUUGCCGACGACAUCGUCGGUUGGGCCGCAGGGGGGCAAGACCAUCGUGGGACCCAUUGCCAUGGGCGCCGAGUAUGCUUGAUUGCCAUGUCGGAGGCAAAGGUCCUAGAGCUUGGUGUGUGACAAGUCGUGUGAGAUGAAGGUGGUGAACCGUCUCAAUGUGAAGCCAAGUAUGUGAAGGAUAUGCCAUGGAUGAUGUGGAUAGAGAUAAUGCAAAAAUUGCUUGCCGAUAGGCAGCUGGGCGUAUGCAUAAUUGUCGAGGAGGCCGAAGCCAGCGCUAUUCUGGUUUGACUGAAUAACGUAUUCUGAGGCUCCCUUGUGGUGGAGAUCAACUAUGCAGUGGGGAAAGGAGCUAGGGGCCGAUUCGUAAGCAGAACAUUGUCCUACCCAAUUAUUGUUGAUAUUAAAUCUGCGUUGAGUAAAUAUCACAUCAGGGCUGUCGGAAGGACAAACAAUGGGCUGGAUCAUGAACUAGCCAACGUUUCCAAAUCUCAUGGAGACUUUGUGGCUGCGGAUGAUGUCUCGGACCAUGAUCUACUCUGGAAGGAAAAUGAUGCAGCCUUGGCGUCGGUAUCAGGCAUUUUGUUGGAUGUAAAGCGGACUUGAUUGUAUGUGAUGGCGCCCCUGAUAGUAAGCUUGCAUUGCUAGACAAGUGGCCGAUAACCAUCUUACAUGUGUUUAUGGUACUUUUGUUUCUUACUUUGCUUUGGAUGAUUGCAGUUACUGGACUUCAUGAUAUGGACGAGUUUGUUCUGUCCCAGCUUAUAUAGGCGGUUGGUAUAUUUUUCUCUUUCUCUGCAUAUCAAUUUAGAUCAGAGAUACUUUUUGGAUGUAAUUUGAAGUAUCCAUAAGAUGCAGUGUCCAAAAAUAAUGCUACCUUAACCGUGCAGUUUAUGCUUAGUAUUCUACCUUAAAAUGUUUACUUUUGGUGCAAUAGCUUCUUUGGAUUUUUAUAUUGAACAUUGGACCAUUUUUACUCAACCUUUAGAUAAUUCGUUGCUGUUUAUGUUGUAGAACAACAUGGUGUACAACUAUGGUUCCACUAACUUGAUAUAUUUUCCACUAAUGUCCUUCUUGCUUCCAUCUACCUUGCUGCCCCAUCUCUCUUCUACCAAAUCCCAGCUUCAUGGUGGAUUCAUCUACAGGUAGUUAAUCUCCUAGCACUGAAUCACUGCACAACUGCACAUGAAUUGUUAUGGACCAUUUGGUUUUCUUCAGGAAUCCACACCUACAGUAGUUCUCCUAGAAACCAUCUGCCUGAAGUUCAUCUCCCUACCACUUCAUUUUGUGUUAGAACAGAGACUUGUUAAAGCUGAGAUCAUAGACAAAUCUUAUGUUGCAACAACAGGUUUGGAGGUUGUGCUGAGAAUUAAAAUGUCAAGGUUCAAAAAAUAGAUGCUUCAAGUAUUUAAUCUCUUUCAAAUACUCUUAUCAUGUUCCUUUCAGUGGUUAGAGCCCACAACUAAGAUAUGUUUGCUUCACACUCAUGCUUGUAAUACGCAUAUAUGGUUCCUUAUUUCAUCAUGUCCACGUUUGUAAUUCUCUGGUGCAGCAGACCUGACCGAUAGUAGAGGUUAACCUUCUUUUUAGCCAAAGCUUCCAGUAUUGUACUAAUUAUAUGUGCUCUUUGGUGCAGCGCUCACUCAACAUAUUGAUAUGUAAGUCAAUUUUAACAAAUAACUCUUUGCUUUGUCGUGGUGGCUAAAAUACAUCACACUUAUCUGCACCUAGAACUGAAUAUUUGAUUCUUUUUGCACCUAGAACUGAAUAUUUGAUUCUUUUUUCCUGCAUGCCAACAGUAUCGAAAAUGAUGUGCAUAGUUAUCCAGUUAGUUUUGUGAGAACUAUAUAUGAUAAACUACUAGAACCAAUAGGAUAACUAUAGUAGUACUGUUGCAUUGGAACACAUGAUUCUCUAGUUGAUAUUUUGCAUGAUGCUUGCAUUCAAUAUCUAGAAUCCUGCACCUCAAACCAUAUGAAUGUGAUCCCUAUAUGGUGUUCCCGUGGUGAAAACUGGAGCAUAUACUAUAUUCAAAUUUUUUUGUUACACAUCAGGCAUACAUUGGAUGGACGAACCAUACAAAUAGUAAUCAAUCUGAUAUGGUUUAGUCACAUAUACUUUUUUGUUUUCUUCUGGUGUGUAGUCAUCUCUUAUAGUGACCAUAAAUUAGUACAUAUAAAUUCAAUUUUAUGAUCACUGUUAAUAUGAACAAGAUUCUUGCUCUAUGUCAUUUAUGGUUAGUGAUAUGUAACAGUGAGCUGCACUAUUUUUUUCAUCCUGUUAGCAAAGCAUCACAGUACGAGCUAUAUUCAGAUGUACAUGAUGGUAGACGUGCAUAUCAUGU